AGCGAACGCUGGCGGCAGGCUUAACACAUGCAAGUCGAGCGGGCAUCCUUGUGGUGUCAGCGGCAGACGGGUGAGUAACGCGUGGGAACGUGCCCUUCGGUUCGGAAUAACUCAGGGAAACUUGAGCUAAUACCGGAUACGUGCGAGAGCAGAAAGGUUUAUCUGCCGAAGGAUCGGCCCGCGUCUGAUUAGCUAGUUGGUGAGGUUAUGGCUCACCAAGGCGACGAUCAGUAGCUGGUCUGAGAGGAUGAUCAGCCGCACUGGGACUGAGACACGGCCCAGACUCCUACGGGAAGCAGCAGUGGGGAAUAUUGGACAAUGGGGGCAACCCUGAUCCAGCCAUGCCGCGUGAGUGAUGACGGCCUUAGGGUUGUAAAGCUCUUUUCUCCGGGACGAUAAUGACGGUACCGGAGGAAUAAGCCCCGGCUAACUUCGUG
rnacentral:rRNA from 1 species